AAUAUUUCACAAUGUAGGAAACCCUGAUGCAGCGACGCCGCGUGAGUGAAGAAGUAUAUCGGUAGGUACAGCUCUAUCAGCAGGGAAAAAAAUGACGGUACCUGACUAAGAAGACGCGUCUAACUACGUUCCAGCAGCCGCGGUAAUACGUAGGGCGCAAGCGUUAUCCGGAUUUACUGGGUGUAAAGGGAGCGUAGGUGGUUCGGCAAGUCAGAUGUGAAAGCCCGGGGGUCAACCCCGGGACUGCAUUUGAAACUGUCGUACUAGAGUGCAGUAGAGGUAAGUGGAAGUCCUAGUGUAGCGGUGAAAUGCGUAGAUAUUAGGAGGAACACCAGUGGCGAAGGCGGCUUACUGGACUGUAACUGACACUGAGGCUCGAAAGCGUGGGGAGCAAACAGG
rnacentral:rRNA from 1 species